UACAUGCUUUAACUACUGUACUGAAAUGGCAAUGGCUACUCAAGAACCGAAUCGAACCGCAUCGAAUCGCAUCGAACCGAACCGAAGCGGGAUCCUGUGCAGCAGAAAUCAAUGAGCUCCAAGAUGGUAUUCCGUCUUCUCAAUCAAAACGAAUACCAGUAGCAAUACGAGUACGUUAUUCGGCGAAAUGUAAAAUGUACACACAUUUGUCGACGGGAUCGACAAUUUGUUUGUUUGUUUGGAAAAGAACAACUCAAAAACAAUGUAGAACUAGCAACGUUUCUUAAUAGUUUUUAAACGCAAAAUGAACUGGGGCCUAGGGCCAAAAGAUAUGUGGUAUUCUGUCUUGUAAAAAAAAGAAUGAAAAAAACUCUCGAUGCUGGACCCAGGGUGGCACGGACUUCGCUAAGUAGAUCUAGUCGCUAUAUAUUUACACUACCUUGAUGAGAAGAGUGAGACAUGUGGAUAAGUAUAGUAGGUGUGUAUUUUGUGAUCGAUUGUGUCAUAAUCAGAAACCAUCUAGAGAUAGAUUGGGUGGUCAAUCUCCAAUGGAUUCGAUGAACAAAAUCAAAUUAAAUUCCGUUUU